rnacentral:rRNA from 1 species
UACAUAAGUAACCUGCCCUAGACAGGGGGAUAACUAUUGGAAACGAUAGCUAAGACCGCAUAGGUACGGACACUGCAUGGUGACCGUAUUAAAAGUGCCUCAAAGCACUGGUAGAGGAUGGACUUAUGGCGCAUUAGCUGGUUGGCGGGGUAACGGCCCACCAAGGCGACGAUCCCUAGCUGGUCUGAGAGGAUGACCAGCCACACUGGAACUGAGACACGGUCCAGACUCCUACGGGAGGCAGCAUG